GGGUGUUAACAGGCUAGGAGCAAACGACAGUCAAGGGUGGGAAUUCAUCACUUCACUGGCAAACUGCUCCCAGCUUCAGGUUCUUGUUCUCGGCAACAACUCUUUCAGCGGGCAACUGCCUAAUUCAGUCACAAACCUGUCAUCAACUCUGCAAGGUCUUUAUUUGGGAGACAAUAUGAUUUCUGGGAAUAUUCCAAUAAACAUCGGAAAUUUGGUUGGUCUUACAGUAUUUGUGAUGGGAAAUACUUCUGUAUCUGGACAGAUUCCAGAGAGCAUUGGUCAGCUAAGAAACUUGGGUGUGUUAGGCCUUUACAACACUAGCUUGUCAGGCCUCAUACCUUCGUCACUAGGAAAUCUUACACAGUUGAAUAGGCUUUAUGCAUACUAUGGAAACUUAGAGGGGCCAAUUCCAUCAAACUUGGGGAACUUAAAGAAUGUGUUUGUCUUUGAUCUCUCAACAAAUCGACUCAAUGGUUCAAUUCCUAUAGAGGUUUUAAAACUUCCUCAACUUUCAUGGUACUUAGACUUAUCAUAUAAUUCAUUAUCCGGGCCACUUCCAAUUGAGGUUGGUACCAUGGUGAAUCUUAACGAACUGAUUCUGUCUGGAAACAAGUUGUCAGGCACCAUACCAGCUAGUGUUGGGAACUGUAUAUCGUUGGUACGGCUGCUGCUCGAUAACAACUUAUUAGAAGGAAGCAUACCUCAAUCUCUGAAGAACAUAAAAGGUCUUGCAUUACUGAACCUAACAAUGAAUAAGCUAUCUGGUAGUAUUCCUGAUGCCCUUGCUAGCAUUGGCCACCUGCAACAACUGUAUCUUGCACACAACAACUUGUCAGGUUCCAUCCCCAAAGUUCUACAGAAUUUGACAUUGUUGGCAAAACUGGAUUUGUCCUUCAAUGAUCUGCAAGGCGAAGUGCCAAAAGGGGGUCCUUUUGCAAAUGCAACUCACUUGUCAAUUGAUGGAAAUGAUGAGCUUUGUGGCGGAAACCCUCAACUUCAUUUAGCUCCGUGCUCCACAGCAGCUGCGGGGAAGAACAGAAGGCGAAUGUCAAGAUCACUUAUGGUCACCGUAGCGUCAAUCUGCGCACUUCUAUUCUUAGGUUUAGUAGUUUGUCUUAUCCAUUUGAUCCACAAGAGGCUCAGACAAGGAAAGGAAAAUCAACUCAUUCCCACAGCAAUUGAUGAACAGCACGAAAGGGUUUCAUAUCAAGCAUUAGCAAAUGGGACUGACCAUUUUUCGCAGGUUAAUCUGCUCGGACAAGGAAGCUAUGGUGCAGUUUAUAAGUGCACUUUACAAGACAAGGGAAUUACCGCAGCUGUAAAGGUAUUCAACGUGUGGCAAUCUGGGUCUACUAGAAGUUUUGUGGCUGAAUGUGAGGCACUGCGAAGGGUGCGCCACCGAUGUCUCAUAAAGAUCAUCACCUGUUGCUUAAGCAUUGAUCACCAAGGCCAAGAAUUCAAGGCACUGGUUUUUGAGUUCAUGCCCAAUGGUAACCUAAAUGGUUGGCUGCAUCCAGCAUCCAAAAUACAGAGUCUGAGCAAUACGCUCAGCUUAGCUCAGAGACUGGACAUUGCGGUAGAUAUCAUGGAUGCUUUGGAUUAUCUUCACAAUCAGUGUCAACCGCCUAUUAUCCAUUGUGAUCUCAAACCAAGUAACAUCCUCCUUGCCGAAAGUAUGAGUGCUCGGGUUGGAGAUUUCGGCAUAUCAAAAAUCCUUCCUGAUGACACUAGCAAAACUAUGCUGAAUUCGGUUAGCUUCACUGGACUAAGAGGUUCCAUUGGAUACGUCGCUCCAGGUAACAGAAACUAACACUGAUAUUGCUAUGUUCAGUUUUUAACUUCCAUUUUGCCAAGUCCAGUUAUCUCGGCAUGAAUCGUUCGUAAGUAGCUUGCCAUGAAUCCACUGACCAAAUAGUUUCUGAAAUCUGAAUUGACUGCAGAGUACGGCGAGGGUCGCGCCGUCUCAACUCUUGGAGAUGUUUACAGCCUCGGCAUACUGUUGCUUGAGAUGUUCACCGGGAUGAGCCCUACUGACGACAUGUUCAAAGGCUCCUUGGACCUUCAUAAGUUCGCCGAGGCCGCUCUCCCCGACAGAGCCUUGAAGGUAGCCGACCCGGCAAUCUGGCUUCAUGAAGAAGCAAAGGGGGAAGACCCGGCCACGGUGAGAAGCAGAAGCGAGAGGUGCUUGGCUUCAGUGGUCGGGCUUGGCGUGUCCUGCUCAAAGCAGCUGCCAAGGGAGCGGACGGCGAUGCGGGAUGCUGCCGCUGAGAUGCGUGCGAUCAGAGAUGCCUUCCUGGUUCAAUGUGCAACAGAGACUUGGCCUGCAGUCGGCACCAGCGGCCUUGGAAGCACAGACACUUGAAUGGUGGACGGAGCUACGGUCUCUUGACGCACCAAGGAGCCACCGGACUAGCUGCUCUGCAACUAACAGGGUGGAGAAAGCGCCCCUUAAUGAAAAGAAAAACAGCCGGUGCAAGGCUUUAUACAAAGAAUGUGACAGCCACUGCGUGUAUCCGAGAGCCUUAUCUAAUCUACCGAGGAUUGUUAUGUAUGGAUGCGUAUAGAUUAUGCACGGACUCCUCCGUCCCAAAAUAAACGCACAUCUUGCUUCUUGAGGAGUCAAACUUCUAAGUUUGACUAAAAUUUAUAAAAAAAAUGUACUACUAUUUAUAAUGUAUAAUAAAUAUCAUUAGAUUGAGCAUUGGGUAUACUUUCUUAAUACAUUUAUUUGAAGAUGUAAAUGUUGAUACUAUUUUUUAUAUUCUUAGUCAAAUUUAAAAAUAUUUGACUCAUCGAGAAGCGAGAUGUGUGUUUAUUUUGGGACGAAAGGAGUACCCGUCACCGGGAUUAGUCAUGAUAUAAGAUUAGUCACGAUAUAAGUAGGGAUUAGCAAGCACCAAAACCCCAUUCACUGCCCAUCGAUCGCUCAAAUAAAAGAAACCAUUGCAUAUGGUGGCGAUGCGCUCGCGGGCCUUUCUCCAACCUUUCUGCUCUCGCGGGUCUUGAACUUGCAUGGAACAGUUUUAGUAAAGCUGCCUCCAACUUUAGGGAGAUUGCCAAGGUUCAUUUACCUGUCCUUAAGUGGCAAUAAGUUAGGAUCGAAUGAUAAGGACGGAUUGGAAUUCAUCACCAUGCUGGCAAACUUCAGCCAGCUUCAUCAACUGGCUUUUGACAAUAAUUCAUUCAUCGGCGAACUUCCUAGCUCAAUUGCAAAUCUAUCGACAACACACCAAUUACUCUAUAUACGAUACAAUUGGAUUUCGGGAUUUAUUCCAUCCAGCAUAGGUAAUUUGCUUGGUCUAGAACUGCUUACGUUGGCAAAUACUUUCAUAUCCGGAAUGAUUGUAGAUAGCAUUGGUCGCCUAGAAGACAUGUCCGUGUUAGGCAUUUACUACGCUAGCUUGUCAGGUAUCAUACCUUCAUCACAAGGAAAGCUUACACAGUUGAAAACUCUCUAUGCGUACGAUAGCAACUUGGAGGGUUCAUUUCCAGCAAGCUGGGGGAACUUAAAGAAUCUUUUUGUUCUUAAUCUCUCAACGAAAGUGCGUAACCCGCUAAAGUUUCAUGUCAAAGCAGAGCAUAAAUCUCUCUCAAAACUGCAAAACUAUCAUAAAGCAGAUCAGUCUGAGGGCUAGCCUAUGCCCUAUCAACGCCUCCCUUCUUGCCCUUUUGGUAAGAUUACCCCAAACUAGAGUCUAUAAUUAAUUAGCUAAGACUAGAGCCACGUAGUUCUUGUGGUUGUACUGUUUUCCUGAGUGGUCGCUCCAUGUUCCAAUUAAGCAUGAUGAUCUUGUAUUAAUAAAAGGUAUAUCAUAAAUAAAACAAGUUUAAUCAUUGAGUUCAUUAAAACCAUCACAAUCCAAGGUAUUGCAACUAAGCAUAUCUACCUUAAAAAAAGGUAAAACCCAGGUUGACAAGGAAUGAUCAUAAAAACUAGGUAAACCUUAAUAGGACCUAUCAAUAUUAAAUGUAGAGCAAUGCAAAAGUGAUUAAAUAUAGUUUUUGGGAUAAAAGUAUAAGGACACACGUGCCUUUCUCCAAAGAAUAGCUGCUCAGAUUAUCUUCCGCUCUUGUUCCUCAAAGCUCUCGAACAAUGUUCCUUCUACUUGCAUCAAUCAUCGGCACAAGCAUACCAAGCAAACAACAAUCACAACUAAGAACAAUACAUCAAUCAUUGGAAAGCUUUAAAAGAGCGUACUAAAGGAUAAGGCUUGAAUCUAAGGUCACGCGAAUGCAAGAAACGCUGGGAACAAAACUAUGGUUGAAAAGACAAAGUUAUCGAGAGAUUUGAAUUAUAAAAGAAAGAGAAAAGCAUAUGUGCUUCAUAUAUUUUAAUAAAACAAUGUAAAGAUAUUUUAGAGAAACAUCCUUAGCAUGUUAUAGUUAUGUAUGAAAAGACAAUGUAGAACUUAGUCAAAUUUUAUUAUAAACAUUCAAGUACAAUUUAUGCAAAUUAAAAAUUUAAUUUGAAAAUAAAGUAUAUGUAAACAUCUAAGCGCAUAGCUUUAUGAUUUAGGUUGAACUAACCAAAUAUAAUUAAAAACACAUUUAUAUUUAUAUUAAAUCAAAUUAACAUAUAAUUAUGAAAACUCGAGAUAUAAAUUAUGUAGCUUUUAUUUAGAAAACAAAUUGAAUAAACAUUUUAAUUAAAGAAGACAUGUUUAACAUGCAUUAAUUAGAUUAAUAUUAAAUUUAUUUUAAAAACAUGCAUGAUGGAAAGAUCGGCACUAACGUGUAAUUUGUGAUUCAGGUUGAACUAACCAAAUAUAAUUCAAAAACACAUUUAUAUUUAUAUUAGUCAAAUUAACAUAUAAUUAUGAAAACCCAAGAUGUAACUUAUGUAGCUUUUAUUUAGAAAACAAAUUGAAUAAACAUUAAUCAAUUUAAGUUUAAUUAUGAACCACCGUGGUGCAUCUCUAAUUCGCUUUUAAUUGAAAGAGUUAUUUAAAUAAGCAUUAAUAACUAAAUUAACAUUUAUUAUGAAAAGCGGUUAUAACACUAAGUAGCUUUUAAUUAAGGAAGACAUGUUUAACAUGCAUUAAUUAGAUUAAUAUUAAAUUUAUUUUAAAACAUGCAUGAUGGAAAGAUCACUACUAACAUGUCCUAAGAAUGGAUAUAAACGGAGCUGUAAUGAGGAGUCCAUGGGUUAAACAAGGUUGCAGGGCCUAAUCGCGAUUAACGGAAGGUUAUUGGGGCUAGCAAGGAAGAUUUGCAAGACACUGGAAUAGAGCUCACCAUUAGGUCAAAGCAUAGGGUUAGAUAUGUUAAAGUGCUCAGGUUAGACUUGGUUGCACGGAUCCAAUCUAAUCAGGGACAUGGAUGAAAAAAAACAAGACACAAGGAAAAACUAACUAUUUGUAGAGCUUUAUAGGGGCCUAUGCGCAAAAGCACCACAGCUCAGCAUCCAUGGUGGACGGGCUCCUGGAUGGCAAAACCCUCGUGUCAGAUUUAUAAGCCUGGUAGUCCACCAAGGGAUUCCCCAAGUGGUUGAUUUGUAGAUGAGGGUGAUUGUGAAACCAAGAACUCGAAGGUGGUCGCGAGAACACGAAGGGACACUUAGACAAGUUCGGACCUUCGGAGAGUAAUACCCUACGUCCUAUAUGCUGGUUUGUAUUGCUUGAGAUUGAUCUAAUUGUUGCGAUACCCUCGGGGGUGCCCUUGGCCGCCUUAUAUAGGCUGACGAUCAAGAGUUAAAAGUCGGUUUGAAUCUAAUCUACUCGGUAGUUACAUGGAAAGUAAUCUGAGUUGGACUACAAUAUGUGUUCCAUGAUAUCUGGGCAGAUUUGAACUAUCUUAUUGCCUUGACUUGCACUCCAAGUAACUUUAUGUCCUCGGCCCGCACGCUCUGAUCGGGCAGGCCCUACUUGUUAGUCCGACCAGUAUCCUGGCCGGUCAGGGCCCAUGGGGUACCCAUAUCCCUUAAGGCCCCAAGCAUUGUGUAGGCAAACAGGAACUUGAUGUCAUCAAAGUGAAACUUGGAAUGAAAUCGGGUGAAGCUGACGAAGAGCCAACGCGUAGAGCGAGGAUGAGUGCCGAGUUGAUGGAUGCUGGCAUCCAGCAGGUCGAAGCGAAGGUUACGGAGGGCGUCGCAAGACGCACUCUGUAGGAGUAGCCCCGGAGCAUUGAAACAAUUAAGAUAAUCAAUACAAUGGUCAAAGAGGAAAAAAUUGUCCCCUGAAGUAGAUCCUUGUGCCCGAACACAAGGAUGGACGCAGCCACGGAGGCCCGCCAACCAGAAGUAGGCACCUAGACUCAAGGACGAGGACUGGUGGGACUGUGGAGCCAUGCCGACCUGAAAUAGGCAUCUAACCCCUGAGGACGAGGACUAGCAGAGCCGCAGAGGCAUGCUAACCUGAAAUAGGUGCCUAGCCCCCGAGGAUGAGGACUGGCGGAGCCAUGAAGGCACGCCGACUUGAAAUAGGUGCCAAGCCCCCAAGGACGAGGACCAGCAGAGCCACGAAGGCACUCUGACCAGAAUUAGGCGUCCAGCCCCCGGGCAUGAGUGCGAGGAUUGGCGGAAGCACAUCGAGUUGCCUCCCUUCCCGGGCUCAGGCAGAGAGGUUGGUCGGGUGACGAGAGGCACACCAAGUCAUCAAUGGUGCCCAGCCGCCGAGCCUAGGAGCCGGACGAGUUGCAAAAGCAUGGCAAGUCACCUCCCGCCCCGAGCCAGAGAGGUCGGCUGGGCGACGGGAGGCACGCCGAGUCAUCUACGGUGCCCAGCCCCCGAGCCUUGGAGCCGGCUGAGCCACAGAAGCACGCCAAGCCGCCUCCCGCCCUGAGCUAGAGAGGUCGUUUGGGUGACAAGAUGCACGCCGAGUCGUCUGCGGCGCCUAGCCCUCGAGCUUGGGAGCCAGACGAGCCACAGAAGCAUGCCAAGUCGCCUCCUGUCCCGUGCUAGAGAGGUCAGCCGGGUGAUGGGAGGCACGUCGAGUAGUUUUUGAGCUAUAAAAGAACAAUACAAUCAUUAUGUAGCAUAAUGUAGAUCAUUUAAUCAUUGAACAACUCGGAAGUUUAAUUCGCUGUAGAAGUAAACUCUUGCGCAUCCUGCUCUUAUAGGCCAAGUAAUUUCCCUAGGUAGUUAUCUUGUUACGUUUAAGCACCUAGCCCUACUGACCACUGUUCACGGAGAGGAUGGUUUAUCUUAGGCUAUAGUGCUGGGGCUGACCCGAUGCUCGCAUAUAGGAACGCGCAGGAUGAGUCAAGGUUUCACGGAUUAAGGCGUGUGCUACCCGAGUACUUUAGCAACCGUUAACAGGGAUGGACAAGUCGCAAAGCAACCGGAACUGUGCGGAAAAGCACCAGCAUGAGUUGGGCACCCAUGGGGUGUAGCCCCCGGCCGCCCGUGUAGUGGACGGAACAAAAGUCACGACAACAUGGAGGAGCCGAGGCUUAUGUAGGUAUAUGGAAGCUGUAAAAUAUUUUAUUGUAAAUAAUACUUAGCUUGAUUCGUGGUCGAGUCAAAGAACCCGCGUGUCAUCUUCGCGUUUAGUCUUAGAAGCCCCUGAGCGUGGUCGGCGGACAGUUGUUGGUGAAGCAAACUAGUCGGGCUCCAUGCCCAACUAAUUCGUGUCGAGUUCGAGUUGUUGGAGUUGUCAGCGGCAGGUUUGUGGUUGCGAUUGUGGUAUGCUGUUGCCAAGUCGAUGUGGCCAUCGGGUCGUGUCCGGCUGGCCGCUACGCUCACAGUACAGCAUGUCUGGGUUGUGCUGCCAAACCAAGGGUGCAUGUACAUCUUUUCGAACCUUGCAAGGAAGCCCUCACGUAUUAAGGAAAUCUAUACCUAAUAUUAAAGCUCCCGCAGCGUGCGCCUAUGCCACGUGUGGUGUGGACGGGUGUGCCGGCUGCGGCUGCGAGCUCCUCACUGCGGCAGGGACCAGGUCGAGCAGCGACAGUGAUGACGAAGGGGAGUAGUCCGCGUCUGCGUGCCAUGCCACCAUCGCCGGGCAAGGUGUGGCAGCGGCGGAGGGGGAGAGUGAGUACAUCGGCGUGCAGCGGCGGCCGUGGGGUAGGUGGGCGGCGGAGAUCCGCGACCCGCACUACGCCGUGCGCAAGUGGCUCGGCACCUUUGACACAGCUAAGGAUGCCACGCGCACCUACAACAUCACCGAUGUCGAGUUUUGAGGCCACUGCACCAAGAUCAACUUCCCCGACAACACGGCCCCCGCGCCCGCACCUUCCUGGGUGCCAAACUCGACAUACCACCACCACGACCACUUGCCGCUGCCGCUGCCCGAGAGCCUACACGAGACCUGCGGGGCGAACGCAUCCUCGUCGAUGGAUGUGGCUCUUGCGGUAGCGGCGUCGGCCGAGCAGCACGGCACGAGGCCGGUGCCGAAGGAGCAGGACAUCUGGGACAGGCUGAACGAGUUCAUGAUGAUGGAUGACGGUAGCUUUUGGUCACCCAUGCUAUGAUCAUCACAUUCUCCUCCAUUCUCCUCUUGUUUUCACUUUCGUUGCUUAGCGGAUAAUGGUGGUCAGCUGGCCUCUGGUCUGUCGUCAAUCGCCAGCCAUCCAUCGCUUUUAUAUGGUUUUGCACUAGCUUUUGGGCUUUGACCACACCCUCCACACCCAUACGAAAUGACUAGGUAGAGUGAUGUUGAUAUACUGCUUGCCGCGCGCUAGGGCGAGCAGCUACUCACUCGGGCUAGAUGCCCUACCCGCCACCUGGACCUAAGAGGUGAAGGAGAGAGGAGGGAGGGGGAAGGAAACAAGGAGCCGAGUGCCUCUUUGCAGUCAACCAAGUAGAGCCAUAUGCCAGCGAAGGCAUGGCGCCAGCGAGGGGGGGGGGCGCAGCGGCAGUCGGUAGGCAACACAAACAGGGGGCGGAGGUCGGGACCUCACAUCCCCCUCUCAAUGAUGUCCAUCCCCUUCAUAUCCAGAACUAAAGCCUCCACAUCUAGCAAUUGGGGGCUCGAUUUUGCACUUGAUUGGAACGAUUUGGAGUGGAUUAUAGAAGGGAAGUGGAUGGAAACGAGAAGAAGAGGAAAACACACUCCUGCUCAUGGCGGCCAGAGGCGCGGUGGCCUAGGUCUCGAAGCAGGAAUGAGGCUAGGCACGGGAAGGACGAGCGUUUGCCUAGGCGACGGUGAGGAUGGCAAGAUGCGUAGCGCCUGGAUGAUGGCGAAGAUAGGGCAUGAUGCGGGUGGCGCCGACGGACGAAGUGGCAUCGACUAGCUAGAUGACGAUGAGUACGGGGGAAAUCGAAUGAAUGGAUAGAGCGGAGGUUGAGCGGUGAUUUUUUUUUAUUUCCAUGUGUGGGUCCCAUGUAAUAAACAGAUGGCAUCAAACCACCCACAAAUAUCUUCUACUACUGUACUGGGAUAACGCAUCAACAUAUGGUGAAGCGAAAUCAACAUAUUAGGAACAAGCAAAUAAUAAUGUGAGAGUAAGUAAGGACUUGUAGCAACGUACAUGUAUUUCUGCUAGUAAGAAAAAAAAUUGUUAGCUGCCGUAGUAAGCACCAAGCAACGUAGGAGAUCUACUGGAUGGAAUAGAUUAAAUAAUAAAGGGAAGGGAGAAUUGUUCCUUUUUUUUGGCAGAUCCGACGUGUCUGCAUGCAACAAGUUGAGGUCGACGUGUUGUGCUAAAUCAACCGGAUCAGACUGGGGCCGGAUCAGGCGAGCUUGGCUGUGGCCGGGAUGAGGCCAAUAAGGGCGUCGCCCUUGACCUUGGCCUCCUGUGCCUCGCGGAUCUUCUACAUCUGGAGCAUCUGCUCCAUGAUGAGCUCGUAGUGGCACUUCUUGUAGGCGUGGCGCUCGGGCUCGCACUUCCAGCGGAGGUAGAACUCGGAGGUGCACGCACUGGUCGUGGUAGGCGAGCGGCACCAAGGCCUCCGCCAUCUCCACCUGCGUGAUGAUCUGGGGCUUCGUGGAGUCGAACUGAAUGCCGGCCAUUGCCGCCGCCUCCAUCUGUCACUUUCUUGCCCUCUCUCUUGCCGGCGAGGUCGUUCCGUUGAUAGAUGGGUGCUGCGGGUUUGGUGCGGCGUGGGUGGGUGGUGUGCAGCAAGGACGUGAGGAACCCUCUCGGAGAGAGAGAUUGCUUACCUACUAGGUAAACGGUGUGAUGAUCCUUUGAUAUAGACCUUGCUCCGCCGGAGUAAAUUCGACAGAUGCCAAGCUGGCGGCGGGCAUUGAGUCGAAGUCCACCGGCAUGCUCCUGAAGUGGAGCUGGAUCGGAUUGGCGAGGAAGUCCUUCAUGCUCUUGGGGAAAACAAUGUCGGGGCGGGAUGCCAUCGAGCUCGCUAGGGAGGAUCUUACAAUCAUCCCUACCUAGCGCGCCAACUGUUGGAUUUAUAAGCCCGGUAGUCCACCAGGGGGUUACCCAAGUAGUUGAUUUGUAGGUGAGGGCAAUUGCAAAAUCAAGAACUCGAAGGUGAUCGCGAAAACACGAAGGGACACGAAGGUUUUAGAUAGGUUCGGGCCUCCGGAGAGUAAUACCCUAUGUCCUGUAUGCUGAUUUGUAUUGCUUGAGAUUGAUAUGAUUGUUGGGAUACCCUCGGGGGUGCCCUUGGCCGCUUUAUAUAGGCUGACGACCAAGAGUUACAAGUCGGUUUGAAUCUAAUCUACUCGGUAGUUACAUGGAAAGUAAUAUGAGUCAGACUACAAUACGCGUUCCAUGAUAUCCAGGCAGAUUUGAAUUGUCUUGUUGCUUUGACGUGCACUCCAAGUAACUUCAUGUCCUCGACCCGCACGCCUUGGUCGGGUCGGCCCUACUUGUCAGGUCUGACCAGUAUCUUGAGGUACCCAUAUCUCUCACCUUGGUGCUCCGGCGAUUAGGGUCAGUGGCGAGGAUGGGGAUUGGAAGAGGAGAUCGAGGGGACUUUAUGGAGAUGCUCACCGGCGACGAGGCGGACGGAUUCUGGCCAGUAUUUGGCUGGCGGUGGAAGAACACGACAGCUGGCUCAAGUCUUCGUGAGUGAUGGUACUCCGGCGGUGGAGCGACGACGACGACUGGUGGCAGAGCUGCUCCUCGAUGUCACGGAGCUCCCUAAGGCUCUAGCUUGCUCCGAUGGUCGACGAGCACAGCGAAUCGGCCAGAGAAGGACGGCAGUGGCUCCUAGCUCUGGCGGAUGUGGGGGAUGGCAGUGCUCGUGCAAGCUAGGAAGAGUGGCGGUGUGAGGCAGGGCAAUAGCAGGGGCACAAUCUCGACUUUUAUAUGUGCGUGGGUCCGCGCCUGCCUUGGCACGCAUGCCGAGGUUCGGCGGUGGCGAUGCCCAAGUGCAGCUACGCUUGGCCUCGACCCGCUGUUGGUCGAUGGGCCUAGCGGGCCUAGCCGAGCCAUCAACUGGGCCGGGUCAGUGCAGGUUAGUUGGAGAGGGUCGGGCCCCAAAGACUUGGCCCCAUCGAUUAGGAUUUUUCUUUUUUUCAGAAAUGAUUUCUCGUGAAAGAAAAAUCCAGAAAAAUUCUAGAUAAUUAAUUUAAACAAUGAAAAAACUCUAAAAAUCCAAAAAUUUCAGGAAAAAUCAUCUCUAGUUUGGGACAUGAGGAGUCCAAAUAAAAUACUUGGACCUCGUGAAAAGGAUUCUAGAACCUUCCAAAAAUUGGAUUUAGCUUUAGAAAAAAAUGAGAAUAAAUCUUAGAAAAAUCUGAAAAUUCUCAUAAGAACCUAAUCAGCAUCUAAACGCAUUCCAAAACCUUUGCACUUAUGAAAUACCAAGAUGCAUUGGUGUGAAUGCAACCCAUACACAAUCAUUAUAUUUAAUUCAGAAAAACACUCAAUUGUUUUCCUAUACUAAAUUUCCUCUUAAGAAAAUAAAUGUUGGAAAAAUUUUAAAAUUGUGAAAAAAUUAUUGUUUAAUUAUUCUUUUUAAUCAAAUCCUGAAAUUUCAAAAAUUUUAAGGUGAGGCAGAUACCCUCAGGUUUACAGAAUUUGACAUCCAUGUGCAAAUUGGAUCUAUCCUUCCAUGAUCUACAAGGUGAAGUGCCAAAAGUUUUUUUUUGGCAAAUGCAACUUACAUGUCGAUUUAUGGAAAUGAUCAGCUUUGUGGUGGAAAUACCUCAACUUCAUUUAACUCCAUGCUCCAUGUCCAGUGCAAAAAAGAAAAAAAAGGAAAUUUGUCGAAAACCCUUGUGAUCACCCUAACAUCAAUCGGUGCAGUUGUAUUCUCAGUUUCAGUACUUACUGUAAUUGUGUUGAUCUGUAAGAAGCUUAGGAAAAGGCACGAAAGUCAACUCAUAUCCACAACUGAGGAACGGUAUGAAAGAGUUUCUUAUCAUGCUUUGUCAAAUGGGACCAAUGGAUUUUCAGAGGACAAUUUACUUGGACAAGGAAGCUAUGGCAUGGUUUAUAAAUGUACUUUACAUGACCAGGGCACUACAGUAGGCUACUGUAAAGGUGUUUAACACACAACAAUCUGGGACUUCUAGAAGUUUUGUCGCUGAAUGCGAGGCACUCAGAAGGGUGCGUCCUCGUUGUCUCGUAAAGAUCAUCACUUGUUGCUCAAGCAUCAAUCACCAGGGUCAAGAGUUCAAGGCACUAGUUUUUGAGCUCAUGCCAAAUGGUAGCCUAAAUGGUUGGCUUCACCCAGAGUCUGACACACUUACCCAGACAAAUACCCUUAGCCUUGAACAAAGGCUACACAUUGCUGUCGAUAUCCUGGAUGCUUUGGACUAUCUUCAUAAUCACUGUCAGCCAUCAAUCAUUCAUUGCGAUCUCAAGCCAAGCAACAUCUUUCUUGCGGAGGACGUGAGUGAGUGCCCGAGUUGGAGGUUUUGGCAUACGAAGAAUCCUUCCAGAAAGUGCUAGUAAAACCCUGCAAAAUUCGAAUAGCACAACUGGAAUAAGAGGCACCAUUGGUUAUGUUGCACCAGGUAAUGAAAGAGAUAUUUUUGGUAUUUGUAAAAUGUUCUUAGUUCUUACGUAUACAUGACCUGCUGACCUUUGGAUUUUUUCCCCAAUCAGAGUACGGUGAAGGUUCUUCUGUCUCAACUCAAGGUGAUGUUUAUAGCCUCGGCAUAUUGCUGCUUGAGAUGUUUACUGGAAGGAACCCAACAGAUGAGAUAUUCAAUGAUUCUUUGGAUUUGCACAAGUUUUCAGAGAAUGCUCUUCCAGAGAGAAUAUGGGAUAUAGUUGAUCCGACAAUACGGAUGCACACAGAUGCCUAUAACAGCACUAUAAGAAGUGGAAUUAAGAAUUGCUUGGUUUAUGUUGUUUCUCUUGGAAUAUCAUGCUCGGAGAAACAACCUAGGGAGCGGAUCCCGAUUCUGGAUGCAGCCAUUGAGAUGCACGCUAUUAGAGAUUCGUAUCUCAAGUUUGCCAGAUCUCUUUUGGUGGAGCAUGGAGUAGUAGCAACAACUCACAGUGAUUUUCCACAACAGUGAAUACAUAGGACUGAAAAUGCGCAAGAUGUCUGCAGAUGAUCAGUUUACCUGAAAUAACUGAAGAUGUAUGAAGCUUCAGCUUUAUAAUUUGUCCAUGCAUUUGUUUGCAUCAGAUAUAUGGAAGUAUAAAAUAAGUUUAGAAAAUGUUUCAAAAUAGAUUAGAUCCAGAGGUUUUAGUUGUCGUUUGUAUGACACAUUUUUGUAGAGAAUUCAGUAAUAUGUAUGAUUCAUAAUACAAUCAAUGCUCUGCAAAUUUCAGAUAGCACAAUUGGAAUAAAAAGCUCAUUCCUUGAUUAUGUUUCUCUAGGUAACUCAACUUAUUGUGAUGUUCACUGUAGAUUUCUCCAUGGUCCAAACGACCUUUGUGAUCAGUUAUGUUUAUGCAUUUUGUAGAAUUGUAAAGUCUUUCCCUAACCUGCUGACAUAUUAGCCGGAGCAUAGCACUUUGCCGUUCUGUACCACUCGCCUCUAGGAGGCGCUUGCCGCUUGGUGGCUGCCGUGGCGACCGACGGCAUCCGUACCUGCUCUGUCGGAGAUGGGUGGAGCUGCUCUGCUCUGCCGGUACGAGCUCACUCGCGCCGUGAAUGGCGCGCGCCUCUAAGGUCUCAUCAGCUGCAGGUGCAGAUGGGUGGAGAGCUUAGCGGCGCUAGGUCUUCAGAAGAUGGGGCUUUGCAGCUCUGAAUGGUGAGGCGGGCAGGGACGACGGAGCUGGACGCGUGGGGAGGAGACGAUGGGCAUUUCUGAUAAUAGUUGGAUCGCGAUCCAAAUUAGGGGGCUAUUUACAAAUAAUAGGGGGUAUUCCGUAAAUAUUCGGAUCGCGAUCAUUAAUCGCGAUCCAAAUGAGGGGUUAAUUGAAAUUAUGAUGGGGUGUCUUUUGAAAUUCCGGAUCGCGAUCCCAUCCUCCGCCGCGGCUCGCCGGAGCGCCGCCAGACGCCGGCCAUCCCUUGGGGUACCUCUUCUUCCUUCCGCUUGUCGGAGCCCUAAGACGUGGUCGGUGUUUGAUCUGACAAGGAACCUUGAAGUCCGGACUAACUGAAGAAGACAGACAUGAUGCUGACCUGGAAGACGACGGCCUCGCCAUGGCUGGAUGCGGCGCGGUGGAAGGACAGUGUGGUGGAGGGCGUGGUCCACCACAUUCCGUCGACGGGCGGCGCACUUGCUGUCGCCUGUCGGCUACUUCCAGGCCGUAGCUGAGCUUCAGAGUUCAGACAGGGUGCUUGUGCUUGCAACAAGUUCAGAACGAUGUCAUUAAUUUGAUGCAGAGGAUGGAGCAAACCGGUUGCAAAUUGGAUUCUGAUACAUAUAACUUAAUAUUGAACCUUUAUGUCGAUUGGAAAUAUGAGAAGGGGUGCACCAAAUAUGGGAUGAGAUGGAGAGGAGUGGAUCAGGCCCAGAUCAACGAUCAUUUACUAUUAUGGUUCAUGGUCUUCAUUCCCAAGGAAAGCUUGAUGAGGCUCAACAAUGAAGUCAAGAGGGUUGAUCCCUGAACCAAGGACCAAGAUACUGGUGAAAGCUAUACAUAUGAAGAAAGAUGGGGCUGUCACAGAAGAUCAGUCUGCAAAUAUGACAGGGAAGAAUCUAAAACUGGAUCCACGAUCUAGACUAUUCCAUGUUCAUAAAUAGUUUGCUGUCAGAUCUUACUUCUAUAACCUGAACAGAGGAUUGCUGGGCACGUAUUAUGUGUCAAAAGAAUAUCUUCUACCAGUGUCCAGAUCACAAUGGCCACACCUUGGGCUACAAUAAAUCAUCAGCAAAGUGUAUUGGCAUUAUGUAUCCCAGAAAGUUUUGCUCAGACUUUCAAUGCCAGGGUAUGCUUUUUAUGUCUGAUACGGAUCAAUUGCCAGUACUGUAUUACACCGCUCGUAUUAUGAAGGUUAUGUGAAAUAUGACAGAUGUUUGUUUAUUCAUCUGUUAUGCAUGGCUGUGUCUACUGUCUAGUUCUUGGCUUGUUGCCAACAUAUGCAGCAGCAGGUAGCUUCAGCCGCUCAGAAGCCCAAAUGAAGGAUGGCCCAGGCAGAAUAGCUAUGUCUAGACCCAGAAAGCUUAGGACAUGUCUUGCCAGCCUGCAGUUUUGUACUCGUAGCACCAACCAUCUCCGGGUUCUGGCCGGUUAUAUACAUGAUCUGGAAUGGGCAUCCGCUGAUCGAUUGAAACCUUGAGUUGCUUCCGUGUGUCUUUUGCCAUCUAUAUAUUAUGGUUAGUCAACGGCAUGCAGUACACCCAUGCAUAUGAUUGCAGUAGGAUGACAUGGCGCGACCAGAACCCUUCUUUUGCCAGUUUUAGAUUCUUAUACACGGCCAACUGACGCAGCAGGGAGUGGCAUGCUAAGCAGUUCAGCGUAGGUGGUGUGUUCUUAACUCUGAUAUGGCUUAUGGAAGAACACUGUCACGGUGUCACUGUCCAACCUCUUACUAGGGACAGCAAUGGCCCUGUCCACUGUUUCGUGGCUGGUAUUAUUACCCCUAUGCAGUGAAUCUGACAUGUGGAUCUAUGUGUAUAUUAUGUCGUCAAAAGAACAUUAUUUGAACUCUAUUUGUGGCGCCACCUUUGAUUCUAUUAAUGUGUCAUGGUCAAUUGAUGUCAAACUCUAUUAUCUUCAAGUCUUAUUGUAUUGAUAAAAUCACGAUGCUGCUACUGCCAUUUUGAUGUUUAUAAAAGGGUAUUGAGAACCUGGUGGGUAUCCAUUCGAUGCGCAGGGGUGGGGGUGGGGAAAAAUGAGUGUAAAGGAUAGGGAUACAGUAUUUAGAAAGAUGGGGCUGCCACAGAAGAUAGUCUCCAAGUAUGGCAGGGAAGAAUCUAAAAACUGAUUCCUUGAUCAAGACUGUCCCAUAUUCAUAAAUAGUUCACUGACAGAUCUUGCUUGCAUAUUCUGAACAGCUGAUGCUGGGCACAUAGGAGGUUAACCGGUCAGCGGAUCGAAGGAAAAAAAAAUCUUGCCUGUCAGUGUCCACAAUGGCCUCAUCUUGGGUUAGAGACAAUCAUCCCUAAAGAAUCAUAUUGCCGGAUAAGGUUAUCUGUGAUUGGUGGGUGCAGAUCCAUGCUCAUCCUAGAAACAAGCCAGGGCUAAAUGCGCCACUCAUUUUAGAUGCUUGGAUGUUGUGGUCACACCGAAAUGAUCGUGUGUUUAAUGGAGUUUCCCAUAGUGACUAGCGUGCAGGCUGUCCUCGUAUUCGAGAAAAAAAAAAUCAAUGGGCGAAAUAUUUUCACCCAGGUAAUUGUUGCAUUGUAUGAAUAGGUUAGAGUAUGAAUGUGCGUGUACUGUGACACAAGAAGAUUUAUCAUAUCCAUAUAUGAAUUAGUGUUAAAUUUGCUACAUAAAUAUCUUCUCUUAUCUCAUUGUAUGUGUAUAUAUGACACAGAAGCACAUGUAUAUCGGCAUUGUAGAGAGAGAGAUGAGAGAGAGAAGCUUAUCUGCUUUUUGGAGAUAAAUAUUCAAAUUACUGGUGUAUGAGAGGGAUAUAAUUAUUCUAUUAAAUUGUUUAUUCAACAUCUAAAAAGAUUCCAAUGUUUAGUCAUCUAUAUAGGCAUUGUAGAGAGAGAGACUAGUGUUCAGCUGGUUGGAAGGAUGAGAGAGAGGAGAGAGUUCAGAUGAGAAAGAGACUAGUGUUUAGCUGGUUGGAAGGAUGAGAGAGAGAGAUAGAGUAGAGUUUGGAUGAUAGAGAGAUUAGUGUUCACCUGGUUGGAAGGAUGAGAGGGAGAUGAGAGAGUUCAGAUGAGGAGGUGGAGAGUUUGGAAGAGAGAGAGAGAGGUGAGAGUUUGGAUGAGAGAGAAAGCAGCUAAGAAGGAUGAGAGAGAGAAAGCGGUAUUCAGCUGGAUGGUGGAGACUUCAUAUAUUACUUAGCGUUGCUACGGCGAAACGACGUUGCUUAGCGCGCGAUGUUUUUAUCGUGUCGUGUAGCGCACCACAUUUUUUAUCGUGUUGUGUAACUUUUUUAUUUUAGUAGUAUUAGACUUUUCAUACAUAAGGGGCCACGUGAGUGUGUCCAUAUCCCAACCGUGCGGAGACCGCUUGUCAUUGAAUUUGUUAUCUCUUGCUCUAUCUUGUGAUUGGUAGGCUUCUACAGCAAUUCUGCACAAAGAAGGCCCCACUUCGCCCCACUCCUGACGUCCGGUUAUUCCCACGCCUGCCCUCUCCCUCUCCAAUCCUCACCGCCAGCUCCUCAGGGUCUAGGUCGGCCCGUGAUGUAGUGGCCUAUUAUCCUUCCACCGUUGGAAGCGAGCAGUGAUCGCUGCUCUGUGAACCUAGCCUCAAGCUGUUCCUACCACUUCAGGUCCAGUGAUGCCCGAGCUUUCGCUUGGCCCGAACAGGCCACUACCAACUUGGAACGGGCAAGGCCAGCAAGGGCACAGAAUAGACCCAAGCCCAGAGUCCGCGCCCAACCAUCCACACCACCUUAAUGCCCCCACUUGGGUUACAAGCCCGCGCAACCAAGCUCGGUGAGGAUGGCUCGUGAGGACGAACAUUUAAGCUGGUGCGUUGCUGCUUCAGAUGGCGAGGUGAUACUAAUAUAACGAAUAGGAAAAUUUCACGUGGGUCCCAUGCCGCACCCACCCCUAUCCUUAUCCUUUCUCAUCUCUCUACUGUCUGUCCGGUCCUUAUCCUCCUCAUCUCAUCUCUCUCUCUCAAUCCCUCUCUCUCAAACUCUCUAUCUCUCCUAUCCCCUCUUUCUCUGGAGAACGCGGUGCACGGCCAGCCCCAGCGGCGGCCUGGAGGCGCGAGGUGCCGCCGGCGGCCGAGGGUUGCGGGGCUGCGGCAAGGAGCCUCCUGGCUGUGGAUGCGACGGCCUAGCCACGGGUGCCGGGCCGCGUCACACCGCGCGCUGCUGCCGUCGAGCGGGCCGCACGCACUGCCCACACACCAGGCGGCGUGGGCGGCCAGGCUGAGCGGCGCGGCCGGGGCUGGGGAGGCGACUCUGGUGCGGCCGAGGUAGCUUGGGCACGGCCGGCUGUGGUGGGUAGGGAGAGGUGGACGGCGGCACAACGGCAGCGCGGAGAGGCGGACGUCAGGCACGAACGGGUGAAAGGGGAGACUGGGAAAGAAAGCUGGACCCACCUAUCAAUGCAGCCGGGGCCGGGGCAGCGCGGGCGGCUGAGGCCGAGGCCAGGCGGCGCGGUCGGGGCCAGGGAGGCGGCUCUGGUGCAGCCAGCCGUGGCUGGCAGGGAGAGGCGGACAACAGCGCAACGGCGGCAUGGAGAGGUGGACGUCAGGCACGGGUGGGUGAAAGGGGAGACGGGGAAAGAAAGCUAGACCCACCUGUCAAUGCGUUAAUCUUACCUAUUAUUAAACAUCAGGGCCACCUCUCAUUGAUAGAAGUUGGACCAAACCAAAAAAAAGUGGGCAGAAGUGUUCCUCACUUUAAUAGUAACAAUAAAGUAUAGAUAAUGCAUCCAAACAACAUUUGGAAUUUAAUUCUAAGAAAAACAAAAUAUGAUUCAUGGAAUGAGUUUCAACUCUAGGAAUCCAAACAGGCCUUAGUUAUUUCUUAUGUAGCUCAAAUCAGAUGCAAGGUACGUCCUAACUUAAAAAACGUAAGUUACUUUGUGUUAUCUUGUGAAUCAGUGAUUAAUUACUUCCAAUCUUAUGUAAAAAGAACUACGAGUUAAAUUCUUUGUCAGAUUUAUACUGACAAGUUACAAGCACAUACCUCUGCAGUAACAGGCGAGCCCUAGACUAGUGGGCAAACCAAAAACAACAUGAUUCGUCAACUGAUCGAAUGCUAAUGACUAUUUUGCUAGGAGAAUGAACAUGAUUCAUGAAAAAAAGGGAGCUACUAACUUGGUCAAGGUCUCCGUCCUCUAGCGUGGGGAAGGGGCCAUCUUGCUCCACGCCACGUCUGCGUGGUUGCUCGGCGGGCGCGACGGCGUCGGCUGCGGAGUGCGGACGGCGCGUAGAUAUGUCAUUGUUGAUCAGGACAUGCACUGCUAUCACCGUCUGUUAUUGGUCAAGGUCUCCGUCCUCUAGCGUGGGGAAGGGGCCAUCUUGCUCCACUCCACGUCUGCGUGGUUGCUCGGCAGGCGCGACGGCGUUGGCUGCGGAGUGCGGACGACGCGUAGAUAUGUCAUUGUUGAUCAGGACAUGCACUUCUAUCACCGUCUGUGGUUGGCGUCCGCGGCCGAGCGGGUCAAGGUCUCCGUCCUCUAGCGUGGGGAAACAGGAUCUCUUCAAUCAGUGCUUCUACAGAAACGGUGCACGGUCACCACGGACCAACGACAUACCAUGAGAAAAGCAGAGCGAAAUGUUGCAGUAGCAGAGUGACCGGAGACUGGAGAGCACUUGCUGCUAAAAGCUGCCUCUUAUUUUGUAUCGUCUUAACAGAAGACUUUAAGUCAACCGCCAUUCGAUUCCAAUAUAAACUAGCAAGUUGGCCCGCGAUAAUACUGCGGCUAGAUUUGAUACAGUAUAAUUUUUUUAAAUACUAUGUUAGCUUAGUAUAUUUCUUUGUCCCUCUUGAUUUGUUUUUCAUCCUCUUGAAAUCACUGAGUAUAGUUAGGUGCCUUACUCUACACAUUGAGUAUCAAGCCAUAUGUGUAUAUUUGUUUUUUUGCAAAUGAACUCCGAUGCCACAUGUGCAUAUGCACGCCUAAUUAAAAUUGCUCACUUGUAACAAAAUAAGAACAACUUGAGUAGUUGAUUCUGAUCUUAUGUUGAAGUUUUUGCCAACUUUUCCUAGUAUUGUUGUGUUGAGUAGAAAGCCUGUGUAGAGAAAGAUACAAAACAAACGAUCGUGUCAACUACUCCCCAUGCUUGCUCAAAUGAUUUUGAAAAAAAAAAACAACCGCGCUCUAAGUCCUAGGGCGGUGAUAUUCCUCCUUACUUUCCUCCUCUUGUUUUCCAUGCACAAUCGAGGAUGACAAAUACCACAAACCACUUAGGCUCGAUCAUGUUUCAUCAUCACAUUCCUCAAAUCUUGAUCACGUUGUUGUCUUCAUUAUGCUAGCAGUACACAUCUCUCCGCCUCUUCUAUUCCACAAAACCAUAAUUGUUCACCGGCUCCAGCAUUGUUGUUGCUCUCCACCAAUCGAGGAAGCUCUUGUCCUUGACAUCACCUUAUCCACUGACCAGCUGAAGUUAUCUGUACAUCCAAAGGUCUCAUAAGAUUUUUGCUGGAUUUGCAUUAAUAUUAAUAUUGCCACCAAUCUAGUCUCAACCUCGCCUUGUGUUCUCCGUGGUCAUUUUUUAUUCUAACUUGCAAGCUCCACAACUACAUAUGAUGGUUCUUCUAUAUACAUAAUAUAUCGCAUCUUCUAAGACAUAUAUCGCGGGCCGGCGGCGCGCGGGGGAGCGGCGCCGGUGGAGCGGAGGCGACCGGUGGUGGGCGGAAGCGGGUGGGCGCGAGCGCGGGUGGAGGCGGAAGAGCGUGCAGGCGGAGGCGGAUGGGUGGAGGCGUGCAGCGGCGGCGGGCGCGGGCGUGUGGCAGCAAGGCCGGCGGCGCGGGGAGGCGGAGACCGGUGGCGGCCAGCCGGCGAGCGUGGGGAUUCUUUUUAUUUUUUUCGAAAUUUUUUAGUCCCGAUUAGUGGUUGGUAACCCAACCGGGACUAAAGGGGACCUUUAAUUCCGGGUGGAUGACCCGGGACUAAAAAUCUCCUCUUUUGUCAAGCCAUCACUAUUGUCCAUAUCACAACGCCUGUGCCUUCUCUUGUUGUCCUCCCCCUUCCCUCUACCUUGCACCUUCUGUUUUCCUGAUCCUAUUGCCAGUUUGUUGCAGCCAUUUAUGGGCACCUCUUUCAUCCAUUGUCCACUGUUGUUGCCCGCUGCUUCAGUUCUUCUCUGACCAAAGCGGUCGUAUCGCGCUGGCCGGUAGGAAGCCAUCAUCUCGCAAAAGCGUCAUCGUCGUCGCCAAACCACAUCUAGCCGAUGCCGAACCAUACUUGCCAUCUUCUUUGCCAAUUUGCCGCUAUGGAAGCCUCCAUGCAUCGCUCAUCAAGUCUAUCCUAUCUCUAUCAGCUCCUGUGGUAUCCUGUUUUGUUUUUGCCUCAACCACGAAGCCAUAGGUUGCUGGUGCUAAAUUGCAGGGCUAGCAACAGGUAUUUCCUCUCCCUGGCCUUGCGGCCAUGCUAUGUAUUUUUCUCUUUAAAAAAAUUACAAUGAUUUAAUCCUAAUGUUCCGAUCAUGUGUGAUUGGUUUAUUAAUUAAAGUUAGAGUUAUACUUGAGUAUAUUAUAUAAAAAUAAUAUAUAUAUAUAUAUAUAUAUAUAUAUAUAUAUAUAUAAGUUACCAUACAAAGUACAACUUCCUACAAGGUGGAGAGGUUCGGAUGGAAUUUUGAUUCAACUUACUCUAUUCUAGAUAUUAGAGUUGUACUAGCAAAAUAUGCUAGUAUGUUGCUACGGUAAAAGAUCAAUUGUGUUUUUCAAAUUAAUAAUAUUUUUUAUUUUCAUAACUAAAUUUUUAUUCCACUUAUUGGAUGUCCACACAUUUAAUAGAAAACUAAAAGAAUUUUUUAUUCAAGCAAGAUAGUUAAAUCAGCCUCCGAUGGCCACCGACGGGGGCUCUUUAGGACUCCUUUAGCCCCGGUUGUAAAGCUAGUGGUCCUCGGGAUUCUGGUGAGGCGUUUUGUCCCGGUUGUAACUACCAACCGAGACUAAAGGGGGGGCCUUUAGUCCCGAUCAGUGUUUCCAACACAGACAAAAUGCUCCUCACCUCCACAUACACAAUGCGCGUGCCCCAAUUUCUCUCCUCCCUCCCCUUAAUUCCAGCGGCCAGGCCUCCUCUCCUUAAUUCCAACACCCACAUGCCUCCUCUCCUCCUCCCUUCACCCCCUACCUCCUCUCCUCCCUCUCUCUCUCUCCUCCGCCGGAUCCGGCCGGCCCCCACUCCCUCUCCCCAAGCUCCUCCCUCUCCCUCGGCCGAGGCGGGUGGCGCAGCCGGGGCCAGGGCGGCGUGGGUGGCCAGGGUCGGGGCCAGGGAGGAUGAUAGGUGGUUAUGAGGAUGAUACCUGCAGAUAAUACUUUUAAUCUCAAUUCUUACAGAAGAAUUGCACUAUGAACUACGCUUUCAUUUAUACCACACCGCUCAGCUAUAAAAAAUGGUGCAAAUCGACCAAAAUAAAUGAAUAAAUCACAUGGUUUAGACUGGUGGCAUAUGUAUGUUUGAUGAGUUUUGAAUCCCAACAGACCUCUGUUUGCUUAUCCAACCGGAGGAAAAACCUUUACUUACUAAAUCAGCUUUGCAUGCCAGGCUGCAAUUGUUAGAGCAGAAUUAGGUAAUUUGUGAACAUAAUUGAAUCAAAGUUUUGUCUCUGACAAGUAAUAGAAAAUGGUAAUGCUCCAUAGCAAGAACACGUUCCUACACUAGUUUAAAAAAUUCCCUGAAAUUGGGAACAAUGGUCAAGUCCAAACCAUACUUGCAACUUGGAGGACCGCUGGCCGAUGUAAGUCAAAGUCAAAAACAGAAGGAGACAGCGACGUCUCACCAGAUCACGAAUCAGAUGCGAUGCAUGUGCAUGUUCAGCAAGACAUUGAAAAGCAAGCUCUUCAAUACGCUCCAGCCCAGCUCCACCAUGGCUUUGGCAAUGCGCGUCAUGAGCUUGCUUCCUGCCACCAUCGCCGUGAUGAUCGCAGUGGCCUCUUGGGGAGCGCACGGCGGUGCCAGCGACGAGGCCAGCGCGCUGCUUGCUUUCAAGGCUCAGCUCGCCGGCAGCGGUUCCGGCAUGCUUGCAUCCUGGAAUGGCACCGCUGGCGUCUGCGGCUGGGAGGGCGUGGCGUGCACCGGCGGCCAGGUAGUGGCACUGAGCCUGCCCUCCUAUGGGCUCGCCGGAGCCCUCUCCCCGGCCAUUGGGAACCUCACUUUCCUGCGGACCCUGAACCUGAGUUCCAACUGGUUCCAGGGGGAGGUCCCAGCAAGCAUCGGCCGCCUAGCGAGUCUGCAGACGCUUGAUCUGAGCUACAAUACGUUCUCUGGUACGCUUCCUUCCAACCUCAGUGCCUGUGUCAGCUUACUGCUGUUGAGGCUCAGUAGUAACCGGUUCCAUGGGCGUAUCCCUGUUGAGCUUGGAGACAAGCUAACAAGUCUUCAGAUGUUGUCACUGCGCAACAACAGCUUGACGGGUGCCAUACCAGGAUCACUAGGUAACCUGUCAUCCCUGAUCUACCUUCAUCUGACAGAAAACCACCUCGAGGGUCCGAUCCCACAUGAACUUGGCAGCAUGGGCGGCCUGCAGGUCCUUUUCCUCUAUGAGAACAGACUCUCCGGUGUGCUUCCACACUCCCUGUACAAUCUGUCCUCACUGAAAAGCUUGUGGGUAGGAUACAACAUGCUGUCUGGAACCAUCCCUGCUGAUAUCGGCGAUAGGUUCCCCGGUAUGGAAGCUCUUGACUUUUCUAGCAACCGAUUCAGUGGAGCUAUCCCACCUUCGCUCGCCAACCUCUCUGCUCUCACAAAACUAGUCCUUCAAGGAAAUGAUUUUAUUGGAUAUGUGCCUUCUGCUUUGGGGAAGUUAAGUCUUACUGCCCUUUACUUGGGUGACAACAGGCUAGAAGCAAACGACAGUCAAGGGUGGGAAUUCAUAGCUUCACUGGCAAACAGCUCCCAGCUUCAGCUUCUUGUUCUCGGCAACAACUCUUUCAGCGGGCAACUGCCUAAUUCAGUCACAAACCUGUCAUCAACUCUGCAAGGUCUUUAUUUGGGACCCAAUAUGAUUUCUGGGAAUAUUCCAAUAAACAUCGGAAAUUUGGUUGGUCUUACAGUACUUGAGAUGGCAAAUACUUUUGUAUCUGGACAGAUUCCAGAGAGCAUUGGUCAGCUAAGAAACUUGGUUCAGCUAGCCCUUUACAACACUAGCUUGUCAGGCCUCAUAC
rnacentral:lncRNA from 1 species